GACGAACCGAGCGAACGUUGUUCGGAAUCACUGGGCUUAAAGGGCGCGUAGGCGGGCUGUCAAGUCUGGGGUGAAAUCCCGCGGCUCAACCGCGGAACUGCCUCAGAUACUGACGGUCUCGAGGGGGGUAGGGGCGAGCGGAACUGAUGGUGGAGCGGUGAAAUGCGUUGAUAUCAUCAGGAACUCCGGUGGCGAAGGCGGCUCGCUGGACCUCUUCUGACGCUGAGGCGCGAAAGCGUGGGUAGCAAACGGG
rnacentral:rRNA from 1 species